GAGUGGGCAAUGGCUAAGCAAGAAGAGCAGACAUUCUCUACACCAUGACUCUGUGCUUCUCUGAUUUUCUUGCGGCCUCUCCCCUUGUGUGGCAGCCCACACUCACUACAGGUGCAGAGGCAGCUGUCUGCGGCACCGCAUCAAACUUCAACGGACUGAGAGUCUGUGUCCCGAUACUUACGGGCUGCAACCUUAAUCCCAACAUGAUGGUAUUUGGAAGUAAUUGUGUCAUGAGGGAAGUAAGUAGCUCACAAUCUCUCAUAAAUGGAAUUAGUGCCAAGAAGGGGGGUCGGUCUUAAAUACAGGAAACUGUGUCAUCUGUGACAUCAUAGAUGGCACUGAAGCACAUUCUACCAAGUUAAGUAAGCUGCACACAGAAUGACAAAUAUUAUGUGAUCCCACUAUAUGUUGAAUCCAGAAAAGUUAGUCUCACAGAAAUGGAGAGUAGAAAGUCAGAGACCAGGAGGGGAGAGGGAAGACAGGGGAUGGGAAAAGGAACAAGGGUGAUCAAACAUUAGAAAAUUUCAGUUAGGUGAGAAGAAUAAGUUUUAGUGAUUCUAUUGUGGACUGGUCAGAUUUUAUAAUAAUGAAUUAUAUAUUUCAAAACUCCUAAAAGACUAAAUUUUUAAAAUGCUAACGACGAGAAAAAUAAAUAAGUUGCUAAAGGGAUAUGCAUAUUAAUACAUAGACCAAGUCAUCCCACUACAAAUCAUAAAUACAAACAAAUAUUAUUUGUCAGUUAAAAUAACUAAAGUGUUUUUAAUUACCUGUCUCUGCCCCACACUGACCUAGUGGUUCUAUUAGACACAGGAUUAUACUUUCCCACACACUGAGGCACCUGCUAUUUACCUGGGUCACAAGAAGCAUGAGACAGCAUGGAUGGGAAGUGUGCAAGUGAUUGCUGCAGGAAACAGACUUGGAAGGAAAUCUGGGAGAGGCAAUGCAGCACCCAUCCUCGUGAGCAGAUCUCCUGAGGGCCUCGCUCUGUGGUUCCCAUGGAAGCAAACCUGGAGAGAGGGCACAGGCAGUGGUCACUUCCCCUUCAAGCAAAGCCCCAUCUUCCGGUCUCCUUCAACUCAAAGACCGCAGAAUUUGUCUGCGCAUCAAGAUGAGGGAGAGGGUUUGGGAAGGCCUAGCUCACCCGUUCUCGUGGACAAAGGCCUCCAACCUCUUCCCCAGAAGAAAUCAUCCGCAGAGUAAGCCAGGAGGACAGUGAUAAUACAGUGACCUGAAAUAAUUGCCACGUAAGUUUGCUUCUGAUGCAAGUUCAGUCUUUGCUGAGAGAUGCCCAGAGCUCGGCUGGCUCCACUGACAGCAGCAGGCAAGCUUCUCUUUUUCUGGCCCAGGAAAGAGGGGUGAGGACAGGCUCAGGAAGACAGGCCUAUGGACUCCCCCUGCCUUCUCGCUGCUUCCCCCAGGCAUGAGGCCAGGGCUCCGGCUAGGGAAGAGAUGGAUCAAUGUUUCACUCUCCUGAGAAGGCUGAGGAUGCUGGGGUGGCUGGCUGAUGGCAGUGGCCAUGGCAGGCCAGGGAGCAGGCCUGAGGGGACUGUCCUUCACCAAGAGAGUGACAAAGUGGGCAGAGGGCAAAGUGGCUUCAGAAGGGCAGAGGGCAGAGGGCUACUGGAUUAGAAAUCGCUCAGUAAGAAAUGCAAACUCCCAAGUAAUGACUAUUGAACGCAAGAAGCACACAAGAAAGAGGGGAAUGAUAAAGAAUUGUAAAAAUAUUCACGUGCAAGGGUUUCUUCUUUUUAGCAAGGCUUCUUGAAUAUUUUCUGCCCUGAGGCUCCCUGGGACCUGAGUCUUUAUUGUGGAUGAUUUGUUUGUUUGUUUACACCUUCCGCAGGCCAGCCCUGGGCAACACUCUGACAGCAGGACUCUGAGCUUCCCUGUCCUCCCAAGGGCCUAUAUCUAGGCUUGCACUGAGCUUCCUCAGUGACCUCCCUGUGCCCAGGGGACACCCAGCCCUGCACUGGAAGCCAGGUGGAUGUGCCCUUCACCCGUGGCCUUCUCCUGACCAUGUGGCGGCCUGGUAACCCUGUUCCCUGAGCCUGCCUGAAUGAGUGAGGACCAGCUCCAUUGCUACUAACAGAAAAAUGCAUGAGCUGCUAACCCAAAAGGAGAAUUGAUCAUAAGGAUCCAAGAGUGUUUCAUAUAUUUCAAGGGCUCAGGGCUGCUUGGCUUCAAACAGAGACUGGAACUGCUGAUGAUCAGCCUCUCUCACAGGUUUCUUUGCUGCUUCUCACAGGAAACGUGGUUUUAUUAAUUUCCUUUUUCCUCUGUCUUUACGAAAUGCCUCCUCCAUGAGUCCAUAUGGCAAACAAACAAAUUUUAAAAAAGCAAAACAAACGUGAAACAAAAGCAAAUAAGCACGACUCGCAGGGAAGCCCACAUUACUCAGCCAGCCAUCUCUAGUGAGAUUUUUUUGUGUAUUUGAAACUUCAAACGCCCCCUCAGAGGAUUGUUGACAGGGUUUUAUCAUGGGGCCUCCCUGCCCCAAGAAGGCGAAUGCAGACCAAUCCUGCGACCACGUGCAAGGGGAGAAGCAGGUCCUACAAAGAGGGCAAAAAACCAGAAAGCUUCCUCUCUUCUACCUUCGUCUACCAAGACCUGGUGCUGUUCCCAAGUGCAUGCCUGACCUGUGAGCUGAUUAGGGCUUCAAUCCUGUCACUGAUCAGCGAUCAGUGUCUCAGCGGGAUCGCUGGAAAAUUCCCCUGCACUGAGUCAGAGCUGCAGGAAGAGGCAAUUAACAUCCUACAAAUCAUAGCAACGAGCUAGAGAGCUAUGCCGAUGACCCUGAAUUGAGCUUGUUCUACAUGUGAUAAAAUUGAUUUUAAGUAAUAAAUAUCCACAAACUCAUUAUAGUUCUCUCCUUGGUCAGAUCUGCUUACUAGUACCUC